rnacentral:rRNA from 1 species
AUUGAACGCUGGCGGCGUGCUUAACACAUGCAAGUCGAUCGGUAACAGGUGUAGCAAUACAUGCUGACGAGAGGCGGACGGGUGAGUAAUGCUUGGGAAUCUGCCUAUUAGUGGGGGACAACCCGGGGAAACUCGGGCUAAUACCGCAUACGCUCUACGGAGGAAAGCCGGGGACCGCAAGGCCUGGCGCUAAUAGAUGAGCCCAAGUCGGAUUAGCUAGUUGGUAGGGUAACGGCCUACCAAGGCGACAAUCCGUAGCUGGUCUGAGAGGACGACCAGCCACACCGGAACUGAGACACGGUCCGGACUCCUACGGGAGGCAGCAGUGGGGAAUAUUGGACAAUGGGGGCAACCCUGAUCCAGCGACGCCGCGUGGGUGAAGAAGGCCUGCGGGUUGUAAAGCCCUUUCGGUGGGGAAGAAAAGUCUCGACCUAAUACGUCGGGACCUUGACGUAACCCACUAAAGAAGCACCGGCUAACUCUGUGCCAG